GAUGCUUCUGAAGUUGGUGAAUGAAAAGAGGGUCAAGGUUGAUCAUGCGGUUAUUGAGACAACAGGUAAAUCUCAUUGGUACCGAAACAGAGGACGCCGAGGAGGACCGAUAUCGGUAGCGGCUGGCCGGCUGGGUCGAGAUCAGAAGCGGAUGCUCAACCCGGCUAGCUCUGGUAACAUGUUUCGUUUUCGGUGGGGACUGGCCGGUAACAGUUUUGAGCUGCGCUGGGACUCGAUUACACGAUACUUGUUUUUGGAGGAACUAAAUCAAACACGAUUAACGGAAAGAGGUAACAAUGUAAUCGGUGAAAAUAUGCGAACCAAAUUCUUCCUUGGAGGAUAGAAAAAUGAGGAU